AUGGGAUCUCCAUGGGAUCUCCAUGGGAUUUCCAUGGGAUUUCCAUGGGAUGAGGUUGGGAUGGGAUCUCCACAGGAUUUCCAUGGGUUGGGUUUGGGAUGGGAUCUCCAUGGGAUUUCCAUGGGAUUUCCAUGGGUUGGGAUGGGAUCUCCAUGGGAUUUCCAUGGGAUCUCCGUGGGAUUUCCAUGGGUUGGGGUUGGGAUGGGAUCUCCACGGGAUUUCCGUGGGAUUGGGAUGGGAUUUCCAUGGGAUUUCCAUGGGUUGGGGUUGGGAUGGGAUCUCCAUGGGAUUUCCAUGGGAUUUCCAUUGGAGGAGGUUGGGAUGGGAUCUCCGUGGGAUUUCCAUGGGAUGAGGUUGGGAUGGGAUCUCCAUGGGAUUUCCGUGGGAUCUCUAUGGGAUUUCCAUUGGAUGGGGUUGGGAUGGGAUCUCCAUGGGAUUUCCAUGGGAUUGGGAUGGUAUUUCCAUGAGAUUUCCAUGGGUUGGGGUUGGGAUGGGAUCUCCACGGGAUUUCCGUGGGAUUUCCACGGGACGGGAACGAGGCCGGACUCUGCGCAGGCUGGGAUCCCUGCGGGGCCGGGAGCGGCACCAGGAAGGGCCUUGGCCGAGGGUAACGCUGUCCCCGAGGGGGUGUCACACGGUGUCACACAGUGUCACACACCCGAGUGUCACACGUCACCCGGGACACGGAGCACAGGCACACCUGUCCUCGUGUCACCGUCACACACCCGAGUGUCACACGUCACCCGGGACACCGAGCACAGGCACACCUGUCCUCGUGUCACCGUCACACACCCGAGUGUCACACGUCACCCGGGACACGGAGCACAGGCACACCUGUCCUUGUGUCACCGUCACACACCCGAGUGUCACACGUCACCCGGCAGGGACACGGAGCACAGGCACACCUGUCCUCGUGUCACCGUCACACACCCGAGUGUCACACGUCACCCGGGACACCGAGCACAGGCACACCUGUCCUCGUGUCACCGUCACACACCCGAGUGUCACACACGCUGUCCCACAGUGUCACACACCUGA
rnacentral:lncRNA from 1 species